UACGGGGGGGGCAAGCGUUGUUCGGAAUUACUGGGCGUAAAGGGCUCGUAGGCGGCCAACUAAGUCGGAUGUGAAAUCCCCAGGCUCAACUUGGGAACUGCAUCCGAUACUGGAUGGCUUGAAUUCGGGAGAGGGAUGCAGAAUUCCAGGUGUAGCGGUGAAAUGCGUAGAUAUCUGGAGGAAUAUCGGUGGCGAAGGCGGCAUCCUGGACCGACAUUGACGCUGAGGAGCGAAAGCUAGGGGAGCAAACGGG
rnacentral:rRNA from 1 species